GGAACCAGUAUAAGAUAGACCGCAUGGAAAAAGGGAAGGGGUUCUGUUUUGUCGGCAUGUAUAGUGAUGAGGCUCUGCGGCCAGUCGAGAUCUAGUUUUUUGGGGCUGGUAUAGACUGGGGAGAAGAAAGGGGAAGCUUCAUUCUAUAAACAUACACGGAGCCGGGGCUCUACUGCCGUAGUGCCGGUCGAUAUCCAGCAUUGCAGAGGCACUGGACGAAGAGAAGUUGGUCAGGGACCAGGCACCUGCAGCGGAUAGAGAACCAUGAGCGGCAAAUCGAAUUGAUCUGCUAUCAACUGGUUCAGUUUGCCUAGUACAAAGACAGAUGAGAAAAAGGAUAGUCCUCAGCACGCUGACUACAGCUAAAACAGAGAGCACACCAAAGGAACUAUCUUCUAUAGUGUAUCUUAUGUAGUACAGCGUAGAGCAAACUGGUAACAAAAAAACAUUCAUAAUGUUGCAAUCGGAUGAUCUAAGCUAAAUAAGACGUGUCCGCAACUGCAUCAAUUGCUGCGGGAAGCUUGAGCGCUGAAUAUCUGCAGCUGAUUUCUGUAGAUAUCUGAAGCCAAUUCUCUGAGUGUAGUUUCGGUCCUGCAGUGAAGUGAUGGUCGAAGUAA